rnacentral:rRNA from 1 species
UACGUAGGGUGCGAGCGUUAAUCGGAAUUACUGGGCGUAAAGCGUGCGCAGGCGGUGAUGUAAGACCGAUGUGAAAUCCCCGGGCUUAACCUGGGAACUGCAUUGGUGACUGCAUUGCUGGAGUAUGGCAGAGGGGGGGUGGAAUUCCACGUGUAGCAGUGAAAUGCGUAGAGAUGUGGAGGAACACCGAUGGCGAAGGCAGCCCCCUGGGCCAAUACUGACGCUCAUGCACGAAAGCGUGGGGAGCAAACA